GAGAUUUCUGAAGUUGAAUGUAAAUAGGGUUUUUUUUUUAAUGAUACUUUGAAUUAUAGAUUCUUAAAAUGUAGCCUGUGCUAGUGUUUAUUAUUUUUUAACUGAAUAGAAGUUAAUAUAUUAUCUUUCAAUGUUUUACUUUAGUAUUAACUAGUCAAAGAAAAUUUUCAGUAUUAGAAAUGCUGUUCUUCAGUUUCUGUGUGAUCAAUGUGGUUAACAUUUCCAUUCAAUUUAAAUAUAGUUGCAUAUUUAUAAUUAAUAGAUAUUUAGUAACGUUCUGAAAUAGUUCUUUCUCUGAAGCUUGAAUUUGUAUGAAUCACAUAGACUAAGUGUCUAGUGUCCUAUGUUCCUUCAGAUUUAAUAUGUAAGAUAAAAACGAGAAAUGUCUAAUUAGAAGCCAUUGGUGUUUGCUUCUCACUUUGUACCUUUAAUUUUUCUUCAGAAAAGGUCGUUUUUAGUAAUUUUUAAAAAGAUUCAUUUUUUAAAAGUUUUAUGUGUGUGUAUAUAUAUGUGUAUGUGUGUAUGUAUAUAUAUGUAUGUAUGUAUGUAUGUAUGUAUGUGUGUGUGUGUGUCCCUAUUAAAGUUUAUGUGUACAAUGUGAAUGUACAAAAUAGUGGAGGUCGGAGGAUUUCAUAUUCUCGGGAGCUGGAGUUUCAGGCCAUUGUUAGCCAUCUCAUAUGGUUCUGGAAACUGAACCAGGGUCUUCCUCAAGAGCUCUAUGUGUUCUGAUUGCUGAACCAUCUCUCCAGCCCCAUUUAAACAGAUUUUUUUCCUUCACAUUAAAGAUACUAGGAAAAUACUAACUAUAGAAGUGAGAAGAGACUGGAAAUGAUGGGUUAAUGUUGCUCACAGGUAGUAUCUCAGAAAGCAGAACUCAGUAGCCAGUUACAUCACACACAUGCAUGGAUGCAUGGAAACUCACACUGCUCAGUAGCCAGAUAAAUCUCUCACAUGUGUGGAAACUCACACAGCUCAAUGGCAAGAUAUUCCACUCACAUGCUUGGAUGAAUAAAAACUCACAUAAUGCGUACCGAGAUACAUGGAAAUUCAUGUACUUGGAUACAUGGAAACUUAUACAUCUUUUUUUUACUUGUUUAAAAUUUUUUUUGAGAAAGGCUCUUAUUAGCACAUGUUGACUCAAGGCUAAAUAUGUAAGUAUAGUUCAGACUGCCCUCUAACACGGGACAAUCAUUUUGCCUCAGCUUCUGAAGUGCUGGUAUUGCAGGUAGGACCUACAACACCCAAAGAUAUUCUUGAUAUGAAAACAAACUGAUGUAAGUACUACUCUUAAGAAUUUGGUAGUUUCUUUUAUUUUUUAAAAUUAUACUUUUUUUUUUUAAAUUGGAGGUUCAUUUAGUGCACUUGUAGAGGUCAGAGGUCAACAAUUUGCCAUAACUUUCUUUUCUUUUGGAGAUUGAAGUCAGGCUAUCAGGCCUUCGUCUGCUGGGCCAUCUAUCUCACCAACCCUAGUGGUUUCUUUUAAAGUUAAAAGAAAUUGAGAGUCAUUGACUUUGUGUUCUCUAUCACUUUAGAAGUUUCUUUCAGAUGAUUUUUUUGGGGGGGGUGGGGCUUGAGACAGGGUUUCUCUGUGUAGUCCUGGGUGUCCUGGAACUAGCUCUGUAGACCAGGCCGACUGGCUUUGAACUGGCUUCUGCCUCUUGUGUGCUGUAAUUAAAGACAGGUGCCACCACCGCCUGGCCUUAUAGUUUAUUUUUAUAAUUUGUUCUAUCUAGGUCUAAAUGUUUCAGAUUCACUUCUGAAAUAGGAUAUCUUAAGG
rnacentral:lncRNA from 1 species